AACGCGAAGAACCUUACCUGGGCUUGACAUGUCGGUGACCGGCGUGGAAACACGUCUUCCCUUCGGGGCACCGUCACAGGUGGUGCAUGGCUGUCGUCAGCUCGUGUCGUGAGAUGUUGGGUUAAGUCCCGCAACGAGCGCAACCCCCGUCGUAUGUUGCCAGCAUUAAGUUGGGGACUCAUACGAGACUGCCGGUGACAAACCGGAGGAAGGUGGGGAUGACGUCAAGUCAUCAUGCCCCUUAUGUCCAGGGCUACACCCGUGCUACAUUGGCGCGUACAGAGGGCAGCGAUACCGCGAGGUGGAGCGAAUCCCUUAAAGCGCGUCUCGGUUCGGAUUGCAGGCUGAAACUCGCCUGCAUGAAGGCGGAGUUGCUAGUAAUCGUGGAUCAGCACUGCCACGGUGAAUACGUUCCCGGGCCUUGUACACACCGCACGA
rnacentral:rRNA from 1 species